rnacentral:rRNA from 1 species
UACGGAGGAUCCAAGCGUUAUCCGGAUUUAUUGGGUUUAAAGGGUGCGUAGGUGGGCAGGUAAGUCAGUGGUGAAAUCUCCGGGCUUAACCCGGAAACUGCCGUUGAUACUAUUUGUCUUGAAUAUUGUGGAGGUAAGCGGAAUAUGUCAUGUAGCGGUGAAAUGCUUAGAUAUGACAUAGAACACCAAUUGCGAAGGCAGCUUACUACACAACGAUUGACGCUGAGGCACGAAAGCGUGGGGAUCAAACAGG